rnacentral:tRNA from 1 species
GCCGACAUAGCUCAGUCGGUAGAGCAGCUCAUUCGUAAUGAGCAGGUCAUCGGUUCAAGUCCGAUUGUCGGCU